rnacentral:rRNA from 1 species
AUUGAACGCUGGCGGCAGGCCUAACACAUGCAAGUCGAGCGGAGCGGCGGACGGGGGAGUAAUGCCAAGGAAUCUGAAUGGUAGUGGGGGAUAAGGUCCGGAAAUGGGAGCUAAUACCGCAUACUAUCAGAUGAGCCUAGGUCGGAUUAGCUAGUUGGUGGGGUAAAGGCAUACCCAGGCGACGAUCCGUAACUGGUCUGAGAGGAUGAUCAGUCACACUGGAACUGAGACACGGUCCAGACUCCUACGGGAGGCAGCAGUGGGGAAUAUUGGACAAUGGGCGAAAGCCUGAUCCAGCCAUGCCGCGUGUGUGAAGAAGGUCUUCGGAUUGUAAAGCACUUUAAGUUGGGAGGCGUUACCAACAGAAUAAGCACCGGCUAACUUCGUGCCAGCAGCCGCGGUAAUAC